rnacentral:rRNA from 1 species
UACGUAGGGUGCGGGCGUUAAUCGGAAUUACUGGGCGUAAAGCGUGCGCAGGCGGCCUCUUAAGUCAGAUGUGAAAUCCCCGGGCUUAACCUGGGAACUGCGUUUGAAACUGGGAGGCUAGAGUGUGGAAGAGGGGGGUGGAAUUCCAGGUGUAGCAGUGAAAUGCGUAGAGAUCUGGAGGAACACCGAUGGCGAAGGCAGCCCCCUGGGCUAACACUGACGCUCAUGCACGAAAGCGUGGGGAGCAAACAGG